GGCGAACGGGUGAGUAACACGUGGGUGAUCUGCCCUGCACUUUGGGAUAAGCCUGGGAAACUGGGUCUAAUACCGAAUACACCUUGCUGGAUGCAUGUCUGGUGGGGGAAAGCUUUUGCGGUGUGGGAUGGGCCCGCGGCCUAUCAGCUUGUUGGUGGGGUGAUGGCCUACCAAGGCGACGACGGGUAGCCGGCCUGAGAGGGUGUCCGGCCACACUGGGACUGAGAUACGGCCCAGACUCCUACGGGAGGCAGCAGUGGGGAAUAUUGCACAAUGGGCGCAAGCCUGAUGCAGCGACGCCGCGUGGGGGAUGACGGCCUUCGGGUUGUAAACCCCUUUCAGUAGGGACGAAGCGCAAGUGACGGUACCUACAGAAGAAGGACCGGCCAACUACGUGCCAGCAGCCGCGGUAAUACGUAGGGUCCGAGCGUUGUCCGGAAUUACUGGGCGUAAAGAGCUCGUAGGUGGUUUGUCGCGUUGUUCGUGAAAACUCACAGCUUAACUGUGGGCGUGCGGGCGAUACGGGCAGACUAGAGUACUGCAGGGGAGACUGGAAUUCCUGGUGUAGCGGUGGAAUGCGCAGAUAUCAGGAGGAACACCGGUGGCGAAGGCGGGUCUCUGGGCAGUAACUGACGCUGAGGAGCGAAAGCGUGGGGAGCGAACAGGAUUAGAUACCCUGGUAGUCCACGCCGUAAACGGUGGGUACUAGGUGUGGGUUUCCUUCCUUGGGAUCCGUGCCGUAGCUAACGCAUUAAGUACCCCGCCUGGGGAGUACGGCCGCAAGGCUAAAACUCAAAGAAAUUGACGGGGGCCCGCACAAGCGGCGGAGCAUGUGGAUUAAUUCGAUGCAACGCGAAGAACCUUACCUGGGUUUGACAUGCACAGGACGCCAGUAGAGAUAUUGGUUCCCUUGUGGCCUGUGUGCAGGUGGUGCAUGGCUGUCGUCAGCUCGUGUCGUGAGAUGUUGGGUUAAGUCCCGCAACGAGCGCAACCCCUAUCUUAUGUUGCCAGCGCGUUAUGGCGGGGACUCGUAAGAGACUGCCGGGGUCAACUCGGAGGAAGGUGGGGAUGACGUCAAGUCAUCAUGCCCCUUAUGUCCAGGGCUUCACACAUGCUACAAUGGCCGGUACAAAGGGCUGCGAAUCCGUGAGGUGGAGCGAAUCCCUUGAAAGCCGGUCUCAGUUCGGAUCGGGGUCUGCAACUCGACCCCGUGAAGUCGGAGUCGCUAGUAAUCGCAGAUCAGCAACGCUGCGGUGAAUACGUUCCCGGGCCUUGUACACACCGCCCGUCACGUCAUGAAAGUCGGUAACACCCGAAGCCGGUGGCC
rnacentral:rRNA from 1 species